AUUGAACGCUGGCGGCAUGCUUUACACAUGCAAGUCGGACGGCAGCACAGAGAAGCUUGCUUCUUGGGUGGCGAGUGGCGAACGGGUGAGUAACAUAUCGGAACGUACCGAGCAGUGGGGGAUAACUAAUCGAAAGAUUAGCUAAUACCGCAUAUUUUCUGAGGAAGAAAGCAGGGGACCAUUUGGCCUUGCGCUGUUUGAGCGGCCGAUAUCUGAUUAGCUAGUUGGUGGGGUAAAGGCCUACCAAGGCGACGAUCAGUAGCGGGUCUGAGAGGAUGAUCCGCCACACUGGGACUGAGACACGGCCCAGACUCCUACGGGAGGCAGCAGUGGGGAAUUUUGGACAAUGGGCGCAAGCCUGAUCCAGCCAUGCCGCGUGUCUGAAGAAGGCCUUCGGGUUGUAAAGGACUUUUGUCAGGGAAGAAAAGGGCGGGGUUAAUACCUCUGUCUGAUGA
rnacentral:rRNA from 1 species